rnacentral:misc_RNA from 1 species
GUUAAUGGAAAUUUUUUUUACUAACAAUGCAAAAUUACAAGUAUUGAAAAUUUCUUUUUACUAAUAAUGUAAAAUUACAAUUAUUCAUUUAUCAUAAAUUUAACUUCAUAUCCCUAAUUAAAAAAAUGCUAAUAACUACAUAAUCUUUUUUUUUUUAAUCUCAAUUUAACCAUGUCUCAGAUUUUCAUCGAAUUUACACGUGUUCAUGUUGUUGUAUUGACUUGCACGCGCUAUGCGCGUCCCAUUUCAAGGUCACUUGGCCUAAAAAGCCCCAUACAGUCUCCAGCAACACUCGAACAGGAUAAAGAAGAGGACGCUUGCUUGUGUCUUCUCAUUUAACUUUUCUCUCACAAUGGACUCCUUUGCUAUCUUUUGCACUGGAGCUCUCAUCGCCUGCGGCCUCUACUGGUUCCUCUGCAUUCUCGGCCCCGCAGAGCAAAAAGGCAAACGAGCUGUAGAUCUAUCCGGCGGCUCGAUCUCCGCCGAGAAAGUCCAAGAUAACUACAAGCAGUACUGGUCUUUCUUUCGCCGCCCAAAAGAGAUUGAAACGGCCGAGAAAGUCCCCGAUUUCGUUGACACAUUCUACAACUUAGUCACCGAUAUUUACGAGUGGGGAUGGGGCCAGUCCUUUCACUUCUCUCCCUCUGUCCCAGGCAAGUCCCACCGCGACGCCACGCGCCUCCAUGAAGAGAUGGCCGUUGAUCUCAUCGACGUCAAGCCCGGAGAUCGAAUCCUAGAUGUGGGAUGCGGCGUUGGUGGGCCCAUGCGAGCCAUCGCGGCCCACUCACGCGCCAUUGUUGUGGGCAUCACCAUUAACGAGUACCAGGUGAACCGUGCGCGUUUGCACAACAAGAAAGCAGGCCUAGAUUCACUUUGUGAAGUUGUGUGUGGUAAUUUCCUGGAGAUGCCAUUUCCGGACAACAGCUUCGACGGCGCGUACUCUAUUGAAGCUACAUGCCACGCGCCGAAGCUGGAUGAGGUAUAUGCGGAGGUGUUCCGCGUCUUGAAGCCUGGAUCUCUCUACGUGUCCUAUGAAUGGGUCACAACUGACAAGUACAAGGCUAACGACGCUGAACACGUGGAGAUCAUUCAAGGCAUUGAAAGAGGAGAUGCCUUACCUGGUCUCAGAAGCUACACAGACAUUGCCGAGACGGCGAGGAAAGUAGGGUUCGAGGUGGUGAAAGAGAAGGACUUGGCAAAACCACCAGCGCUCCCAUGGUGGACGAGACUGAAGAUGGGCAGGAUCGCCUACUGGAGGAAUCACAUUCUCAUCACUAUAUUGGCUGCCUUGGGGAUUGCGCCGAAGGGAACCGUCGAUGUCCAUGAGAUGCUUUUCAGAACCGCCGAUUAUCUGACGAAGGGCGGCGACACUGGGAUUUUCACUCCGAUGCAUAUGAUUCUCUGCAGAAAACCUGAGACACCUUCAAAUUCUUAACCCGCCCAAAAAAGGUUGAGGUAACACCUGGUUUUUUAUGUUGCAGUAACUCUAUUCCACCACCCCUUUCCCUGGUGACUUUAGUUUUCUUUCCGUUUUUUAGGCUUUUUUUAUCUUUUUCACUUCUACAACUUAAUUUUUGUUAUGAUCUUUUGUAUUUUUGUUUUGGAAUUUAUUUAAAUGUCUUGGCUGGAUCUUGGGGUUGAAUUACUGUUUUCAUCAUAGUGAAGAAUCAUGAGGUCAAGAAUCUUGUUAUCUGAAUGUAUGUUGUUUUUCCUUUUUUAUGUGGACAUGGGUACUCAACUGAGCCAAAGAACAGUACAAUACUGUGGGAAAGAAAAGGCCUUUUUAUCAGAUAAUUUUGCAGCAUUAUUAUUUUUUAUGUCGGGAAUCCGUUUCCUGGCCUAAUUUAAAUAAAAACGAAAAAUCAAGAUAGCUAUGGAUGGAGUAGGGAAGAGAGCGUGUGAAGUGAAGUUGGGAUUACACGCGGCGCACAUGGAUUACAAAGGCGCUUUUGCCAAUGAAAAAGGCUUAGGUUAGCUGGCCAGCAGUGGAUCUUGAAUUCUUGACUUUUGCUGUGUUGUUGUUUUGCUCAACUCUGGGAUUCCGCCAGAUUGGCUCAGCUGUUGUGGGUUUGUCUUGUUAUGAUUAGUUUUUCUUUUCUUCCAAGUUCUUGCGGCAGCGAGGAGGCCACCAUCCCACUAGAGAUCUAUCUUUUUUAUUAAUCAGCUUUUCCUUCAUUCUUCGCUUGUGUGCUGUGCUCAUAAAUGGUGACUUUGAAUGCCACGUACGGAAUUGGGGUGACUGUAAUCUUGGGAUUGCAUUUAAAAUAGAAGCUACGAGAUUAGAAAGGUAAUCUAUCGUUUAUCAGCUUUCCUUUCAAGAUCAUUAUAUGUUGGAUUCAGAAUGUGGACAGUCAAGUUAUGCGACCUUAUAUGAAAUAUAUAACCCCUGAUUAAAAUCUCUUUACGAAACAUGAAAUGAAAUUGGUUGAAUGUCCACACAAGUGGGAGGGGGUGUCGUGCCAACUGCCAAUGAACCGUGGGUUGGCAUCCAAAGUAAUAGAUGGUUGUGGGGUUAGCUGCCCUGUAAGGGGUAAGGCAUUGCCGGUGGGCUCAAGCAGUUAUCAAUGCAAGGAUCUUUAUCGGCAGGGACAGCUACGUAAGGCUAAAAAGUGGGAAGAUUUUGGGCAUUGUAUGCAUCUCUAAGUAUUAAUUGAAGGAAGGAUGACGUCGAGUUGGAUGUCCCAAAUUCAGAAUCUUCUUUAAGGUUUCAUAUUAAAUUUAGUUGUGUUGCCAUGAAUAGGACCGAGAUAUGAGAGAAUGAUCUGGUUACAUUUGACUAAGGACUCUUAUUAAUGCCUCAUCAAUGUGCAAGUUUAUAACAUUCAAUUCUUGCAUUAUUUUUUCCUACUUGCAGUUGUGUUUCUGUUAGUUAUUAUAUUCUUUUGUUAUGCUGUAGAAUGGAAGAUUGUUGGGAACACUUGGGAAAUCUAUAAAAUGAAAGGCUAAAAUAUAAAUGGUUGGA